AUUGAACGCUGGCGGCAUGCCUUACACAUGCAAGUCGAACGGUAACAGGUCUUCGGAUGCUGACGAGUGGCGAACGGGUGAGUAAUGCAUCGGAACGUGCCCAGUUGUGGGGGAUAACUGCUCGAAAGAGCAGCUAAUACCGCAUACGACCUGAGGGUGAAAGCGGGGGAUCGCAAGACCUCGCGCAAUUAGAGCGGCCGAUGUCAGAUUAGGUAGUUGGUGGGGUAAAGGCCUACCAAGCCGACGAUCUGUAGUUGGUCUGAGAGGACGACCAGCCACACUGGGACUGAGACACGGCCCAGACUCCUACGGGAGGCAGCAGUGGGGAAUUUUGGACAAUGGGCGCAAGCCUGAUCCAGCAAUGCCGCGUGCAGGAAGAAGGCCUUCGGGUUGUAAACUGCUUUUGUCAGGGAAGAAAUCCUCUGGGUUAAUACCCCGGGGGGAUGACGGUACCUGAAGAAUAAGCACCGGCUAACUACGUGCCAGCCGCCGCAGUAA
rnacentral:rRNA from 1 species